rnacentral:rRNA from 1 species
GAUGAACGCUAGCGGCAGGCUUAACACAUGCAAGUCGAGGGGCAGCGCGGGAUAGCAAUAUCCUGGCGGCGACCGGCGGAAGGGUGCGUAACGCGUGAGCGACAUGCCCGUUGCCCGGGGACAACCGGUGGAAACGCCGACUAAUCCCCGAUGGGAUACGAUGCUUCAUGGCAUUGUAUUGAAAGUUACGGCGGCGACGGAUUGGCUCGCGUCCGAUUAGCUGGUUGGCGGGGUAACGGCCCACCAAGGCUGCGAUCGGUAGGGGUUCUGAGAGGAAGGCCCCCCACAAUGGGACUGAGACACGGCCCAUACUCCUACGGGAGGCAGCAGUGAGGAAUAUUGGUCAAUGGGCGGAAGCCUGAACCAGCCAUGCCGCGUGCGGGAAGGAGGCCCUAUGGGCUGCGAACCGCUUUUGCCUGGGGGCAAUAAGGGCGUCGCGCACGUCCGAUGAGAGUACCAGGCGAAUAAGCAUCGGCUAACUCCGUG